rnacentral:misc_RNA from 1 species
UAAUAAUAAUAGUAAUAAUAAUAGUGAUAAGUCAAUUCAUCAUCAACCAUAGACAGCUAACUAUUUUUCUCACUAUGGUGUGGUUGUGAGUUGAUGUGAACAUUAGAUUACUUUAACCUUUCAUCAAACACAUCCUAACUGUUAACUUUGCUAUUCACGACAAUGGACUUGUAAAUGGAUAGCAAACAUUGUCAAUAUGAGGACAACAACAACAACUCAACAAUUUAAAAACAUGAACUACUCCCAAAAGACACUAGAAUUUGCCCUUGUACUCUCAAAACCAUUUGGAAGCAACUAUGGCUUCUAGUGUCGUCUUCUCCAAUUGACCUUCAUCAAUCCACAUGGAACUUUGUUUUCGCAAGAGUUCAUUCUUCUGUUUCUUUUUCUCUUCCAGUUUUUGCUGUACCAUUCUCCAGUAUUCAAGCUUCUCCUUUCUUUCUUUCAACAGCAUUUGACGGAAUUCCUCUUCAGCAAUCUUGCGCUCCUCAGCUCUAGCUUUAGCAACCUCAGCUUUUAACUUCUUGCGCUCUUCAUUUGCAACCCUUAUGGCCUCUUUUCUAGCUUCGUCCUGCCUCUGCUUCUCAAUGCGGAUCAAUUCCAUUUCCCUUAUGUACUCCUUCCGCACCUCCUUCACUUGCUUCGCAUACACCCUCCUCAAUCGUGCUAGUUUUGCCUCCGCCUCUUUUGGGUUCUUUGGCGCUUUCCAGCUACCGAUGAAGGAGUUAGACUCCAAGAAUUUAUGGGUGUUUUUAUGGGUAUUGUUAUGGCUGCUGCUGGCAAUAGAAGAGAAGAAGUGGCGCCCUGCACAGACAGCAGAGCGAAUGGCGGCAGUGGCCAUUUUUGGGGAUUCAAAUUGGGGGAAUUACUGAAUCUCUAUUGUAAUGACUUCCUUAAAUUAGCAACUUCCUACAGUUCAAUCUAAGCAGCAGUGGCAAUGACUUCAAAGUGGUCAAUGGCGACGAUGACGACGACAGCAGUGAGAUGGGGGCUUCAAAGUGGUGCGGCAUAAGCAUAACAAAAGUUAAUCACACUACAUAAAUUGUAUCAAACAUGCCAAAUAAGACAUUAAAUCACAUAUAAAUAACACAACAAUAAAUCAUAAAUUAUAAAAAUAAUAAGUUCAUGAAUACAACACUUCUAAAAGAGUUCAUAGACACAUAAUUUUGUAACUCCGACAUCCCAAGGGAAGAUGAAUAUUACAUCAAUACCUUCAAAAAUAAAAUUUAAUAACAAUUUGAAUAUUAGACUUCAAACAAUUAUAUAUUACAACUCUCUACUGCCUCAUUGUUAUCAAAUGACAUUUCAAAAUACCCUGCAUACAAAUAAUAAAUCUGUGCACCAGAAUUUAAUUAUACCCAUUUUGACAGUAACCCAAACAUCUGUGAAAUGAAAGAUAACCCAAACAUCUGCGACAAUAGAUGAAAAACAAUAAUCCAAAAACAGAAAUAAAAUAACAUCUGCGUAGGAAAAUAACAAUAACAUGAAAUCCAAACAUCUAUGAACUAAAAAUUGAAAACACACCCACUGCGAGGAAAGGAUGAUUAGGCCAGCUUGAGAUCCACUCACUGUGAAGCGGAAAGGAUGAGCAGAGGCGAGGUUGAGGAGCGAGAGACUCCGUCCGGUGCUGCGGCAAGCGUGAGAGAAAUGGGCGGUGAGUGGUGAGGGUUUUAGGUUUGGAGAGACU